AGAGUUUGAUUCUGGCUCAGGACGAACGCUGGCGGCGUGCUUAACACAUGCAAGUCGAACGAUGAAGCCUAGCUUGCUAGGUGGAUUAGUGGCGAACGGGUGAGUAAUACGUGAGUAACCUACCUUUAACUCUGGGAUAAGCCUGGGAAACUGGGUCUAAUACCGGAUACGACCAAUCUCCGCAUGGGGUGUUGGUGGAAAGCGUUAUGUAGUGGUUAUAGAUGGGCUCACGGCCUAUCAGCUUGUUGGUGAGGUAACGGCUCACCAAGGCGACGACGGGUAGCCGGCCUGAGAGGGUGACCGGCCACACUGGGACUGAGACACGGCCCAGACUCCUACGGGAGGCAGCAGUGGGGAAUAUUGCACAAUGGGCGCAAGCCUGAUGCAGCGACGCCGCGUGAGGGAUGACGGCCUUCGGGUUGUAAACCUCUGUUAGCAGGGAAGAAGAGAAAUUGACGGUACCUGCAGAGAAAGCGCCGGCUAACUACGUGCCAGCAGCCGCGGUAAUACGUAGGGCGCGAGCGUUGUCCGGAAUUAUUGGGCGUAAAGAGCUUGUAGGCGGUUUGUCGCGUCUGCUGUGAAAGGCCGGGGCUUAACCCCGUGUAUUGCAGUGGGUACGGGCAGACUAGAGUGCAGUAGGGGAGACUGGAAUUCCUGGUGUAGCGGUGGAAUGCGCAGAUAUCAGGAGGAACACCGAUGGCGAAGGCAGGUCUCUGGGCCGUUACUGACGCUGAGGAGCGAAAGCGUGGGGAGCGAACAGGAUUAGAUACCCUGGUAGUCCACGCCGUAAACGUUGGGCACUAGGUGUGAGGCUCCUUUCCGGGGGUUUUGCGCCGUAGCUAACGCAUUAAGUGCCCCGCCUGGGGAGUACGGCCGCAAGGCUAAAACUCAAAGGAAUUGACGGGGGCCC
rnacentral:rRNA from 1 species